GCUGGGCAUGGUGGCGCAUGCCUGUAGUCCCAGCUACUCAGGAGGCUGAGGCAGGAGAAUCGCUUGAACCCAGAAGGCAGAGGGUGCAGUGAGCUAAGAUCAUGCCACUGCACUCCAGCCUGGGCAACAGAGUGAGACUCCGUCUCUU
rnacentral:SRP_RNA from 2 species